UUUUGCUGCCCUUGUUUUGCA
rnacentral:miRNA from 2 species